AUAGUUAUUCUUAACGCCUGUCCCUGGGUCCGAUUCCCCAGGAAACCAGACAAAACCAUUUAUAAAACGCUGCCCGGUAGAGCCUAGGUUUACAUUUUCCCAGGCAAAAUCAGCGAAGAGAAAAAAGAAAAGAACUGACCGAAGAACAAAAAGGGACAGUGAUUUGAAAUGAUUCAAAAUCGAUCCUGAAUUGGCCCUCUUCCUCAUGGACAGGUAUGUAAUAUGUCUAUUUUAUUUAUGAAAUACAUUGCGAGACGUUAUUUUACAUCAAAA